GCUGGGCAUGGUGGCUCAUGCCUGUAAUCCCAGCACCUUGGGAGGCUGAGGUGGGUGGAUCACCUGAGGCUAGGAGUUUGAGACCAGUCUGGCCAACAUGGUGAAACCCCAUCUCUA
ensembl:misc_RNA Metazoa_SRP Metazoan signal recognition particle RNA